rnacentral:rRNA from 1 species
GUGGGGGUCAGCAUGCAGAUCCAUUUUCUGCCACCGAAUACAUUAGCAUGGGAUAAUGGAAUAGGACCCUGUCCUCCUAUUUUCAGUUGGUUUUGGCAGCGCGAGGACUAGGGUAAUGAUUAAUAGGGAUAGUUGGGGGCAUUAAUAUUUAAUUGUCAGAGGUGAAAUUCUUGGAUUUAUGAAAGAUUAACUUCUGCGAAAGCAUCUGCCAAGGAUGUUUUCAUUAAUCAAGAACGAAAGUUAGGGGAUCGAAGACGAUCAGAUACCGUCGUAGUCUUAACCAUAAACGAUGCCGACCAGCGAUUAGGAGACGUUGAAUACAAAACACCACCAUCGGCGCGGUCGUCCUUGGCGUCGGUCCUUCAGGGGGCCGGCGCGGGGGCGGCUUACCCCGGGGGCACCGGUGAAUGACUCCCUAGCAUCUUUGUGAAAA